UUACAAUGGCUUUUUUUGGGAGGUAAUUACAAGUUUGACAAGUUUGGUUGCUAGAGGUGCUGACGGUGAGGGAACAGACUACGGAAAGGUACUUGACUUGGUACCGCACGGCAUUUUGAUUACAAAACGAGAACAAUAUCAAAUUAACGUGGUGCACAUGAAAUUGAAAGCCGGCUAACUGAGAGGUCUCCACAUGUCAUUGUAAAUAGGGAAUCAGCGUCAAACAGGUGGGUUUCUAAUGGGAUCCCAAAGGGGCGAUUCUUGGCCCGAUGCUAUUUAACAAUUUUAUUAAUGGCUUGGAAGAAAACAUAAAGUCGUCGCUGAUGAAGUUGGCAGCUGGCACGAAAAUUGGGGACGUGGUAAAUAAUGACGAGGACACGUCACUCAGACAGAGUUAUGUGGGUCAUUCGGAAAACUGAGUGCAAGCAAACAACACGCAUUGUCAUGGAGCUAAAUGUAAAUCUGUGCAUCUAGGGUCAGAGGACGCAGGCUGUGCUUACAGGACGGGGGCCUGUAUCCUGGGAAGCAGGGACCCUGAAAAAGAUUUGGGGGGCUGUGGUGGGUAAUUAGCUGAACCUGAACGCGAGUACAAGGCAGUGGCCAAAAAGCUGAUACAACCCUGGGAUGUAUAAACGGGACUCUCAGAUAGGAGCCGAGAGGUUAUUUUCCCUCUGUACUUGCCACUGGUGUGACCUAUUGUGUCCAGUUCUAGCUCCCACCAUUCGGAAAAGAUGUGGAGAAAACGAACAGAGAAAGAUCAAACAUGAUCCAAAGUCAGAGACAUCAAAUUGAGAUGGGAAAUAAGGUGUCAAUUUUUGACAUUGUUAAACAUUUAACCACUGGAGCAAUUUACCUGUCACCAACAUUUCAAAUGAAGAUCCUAAAUUCUGACUUCCACAAGCCCCGCUCCAGGAAUUAUUGGGGAACCCGUCUCUGGCUUGCACUGGGCAGGUCAGAGCAGACAAUCGCAAUGGUCCUGCCUGGCCUUGGCAUCGAAUGGGAACGGCCAACAGCCAGCAUGUUGAAAACACGGUGCUUUGUGUGCGAAAACCAAACAGUAAGAAAAAAGUCCCAGGGCAGAGCCAAGUCAGAUUUCCCUGCAAACUUUUUCUGCCAAAGGAAACAUUGUUCAUUCGAAAUUCUUCGCAGGCAAAUUUGGAAAUGAAAAUUGGACUCAAUUUGGGGGCUUUUGUGACCCUCUCAAGGGGGGAGGCUAAAGGAAGCUCGUGUUCCCGGAUCCCAAAAUAGCAUCUCUUUGGUGCUGCCAGGAACAACCAGGCUGCGCGGGAAAUACUGACAGCCAGGCAGCUCUGACAGCUGGGGGAUGUGACACAGACGGUGCCUGGGGGGACACUGACGGGGGAGAUGCAAAGGGUUGGGACCCGCCCGGAGAGUCCAAGCUAGGGCCAGAAGCUUCCAAAGAGCCAGAGAUCAGAGGGCAGCAAGACCUGGCUCGUACAUGACCAGCUCGGGCGUUAGGUGGCGCGUCUGUGUGUAUUUGCCUGCUGCAGACAGCGCUUCCAAUGCCGGGCUCCUAGGAGCUCCGGGGCAGAGAGCCAGAGGCUGAGUCUGUUAUGUGCUUUGAUUGAGUGAGGGGGCUUUCAUGCAGGGGUCUAUGCCCCCCCUAGGCCUGAGAUGGGCAGGGAGCCAUCGCCGGGCUGGGGAACUGUUCUCUGCACACACAGGAGAAAGCCUGAGACAGAGGGGUGAAUUUCAUCUCGACUAGAGUCAUCAGACGGGUUUUAUUCUUACGCACAGACACGAGUGAGUGGAAGCCCUGUAUGUCCAGCGGAGGCGCACGGCAGGGGGGUUGGCGACACAAGGACAGUACGUGCGCCCACGUGUGGCCUGGCGUGGGCCUGCCAUGCACGUCACGGGGCCGGGGGAGCGGCCGGCGGUCCCUGGCUUGUGUGCGUGUUACAAGGGGCCUUGCGCGCGGCGUGUGCAGGGGGGACGGGGCGGGGGCAGCAGUGCGUCUGGCUCACUGACAGCACAGGUCCCGCUAAGGAGAGGUCUCGCCGGAUCCCACGCUUGCCAGCCACGAGCCAGGGAAGGGCCCUCAGACCACCACGAGUGCACCGCUGUCGCGAGCCCCCAGCGCCCCCCGAGAGGGAGGCCGGACCCUGGGCACAGGGAGCAGGGAUGGGCCGCUCCCAUCAGGCCCUGUGUGCUCCUGGCAAAGGUCCCCGGCAGAGAGCAGCUCUCGGCUCGGCUGCGGCUGAGGACAAGGCUCUGUUCUCGGGAGGCCAGGCCUGGCCCUUGCCCCGCAGCCGGCUCCCACGGGAGCUGCCCUCUCAAGACCCCGCACCAAGGUC